rnacentral:tRNA from 2 species
CGGGGUGUAGCGCAGCUUGGUAGCGCGCUUCGUUCGGGACGAAGAGGUCGCUGGUUCAAAUCCAGUCACCCCGA